UGUACCUGAGUCAGGACAAUCCCAAGCGCAAGUAAGGCUGGGAGGAGAAGAGGUUGAAAGGUGCCCUGUGGAGAAGGAAUUGAGGGUGUUGGUUGAUGAGGAGCCAAACAGGACCCUGCCCUGCGCAAUUGCGGUUCAGAAAGCCAACUGGAUCCCAGACUGGAUUAAAAACAAUGUUGCCCACAGGCUGAGGGAGGGUGGUUCCUCUCUUCUAUGCUGUUCUGCUGUGACCCCACCUGCAUCCAGCUCCAGGGCCCUCAACAUAAGAAGGUCAGGGAACUGGUGGAGUGUGCUGGCAGGUCACAAAGCGGGCCAGAGGGCUGGAGCACCUCACUUACGAAGACAAGCUGAGAGAUUUGGGGUUGUUCAUUGCAGAGAAGAGAAAGGUCUAGGAAGAUCUUAUAGCAGCUUUCCAAUACCUAAACAGUGUUCCCAGUGGAGCUGGAGAGGGACAUUCUACAAGGACACACAGUGAUAGAACAAGUAUGAAUGUCUUUAAACUGAAAGAGGGCAGAUGCAAAGUGAGGAGCUAGAGCCAGUUUUGGUGAUAACAGGAUGAAGAAGCAGAUGGAAGAGGCCAUGCUUACACGAUCAACAGAAAUUGCAAGAACAGAAGAGAAGCCAAUGGUUCUGGAAUUGCACUCAUGGGGACACUAAAUACAAGCCUGGAAUUACAACCGCAAUGUUUUCAGAACAGCAGCUUGUGCUUACAAUUUUUUCUUCUUCCUGGCAACAAUGUUAAAAUAUUAGCUUUGAAAAAAAUCCAAGAAGGAUUUGGGACAGUAAAAACCACACUCACAAAGAAAUUCUCUUUCCUACUAAAUUCAGACUUUAAAAGACUAAAGAAAUUGUUUACUUAUUUUACUUAAUCCUUUUUCAUUAUUUUUUUCUCUAAGCUAUAGUUAUAUGGAUAAGAAAAAUAAAGGAAAAUGAAAAAUAUUGUAAUAACAGAAAUAAUUGCUAUUAAUAAUAAUGUGUUAAAAGAAAUAUACAAAGGAGAAAAAGAAAUUAUAUUAGUUUUGACCAAUAGGACAGACAGCUAAUAUACCCCUUUCUCUGAGAAGAAGUAAUCUGUUAGAGAGGUAAAUACAGGGUUUGGUUUUUUCCCCUGUUCAAUCAUAUGUUUAAAAAUAAAUAUGUAUGAGCACACAUAUAUUAAAAGGCAAUGAAACUGAAAACCAGACAAAAA